UCAACCGAGAUUCCCCCAGUAGCGGCGAGCGAACGGGGAGGAGCCCAGAGCCUGAAUCAGCAUGUGUGUUAGUGGAAGCGUCUGGAAAGGCGCGCGAUACAGGGUGACAGCCCCGUACACAAAAGCGCAUGUGCUGUGAGCUCGAUGAGUAGGGCGGGACACGUGGUAUCCUGUCUGAAUAUGGGGGGACCAUCCUCCAAGGCUAAAUACUCCUGACUGACCGAUAGUGAACCAGUACCGUGAGGGAAAGGCGAAAAGAACCCCGGCGAGGGGAGUGAAAAAGAACCUGAAACCGU
rnacentral:rRNA from 1 species